CCUACGUGGGGCAGCAGUGAGGAAUAUUGGUCAAUGGGCGCGAGCCUGAACCAGCCAAGUAGCGUGAAGGAUGACUGCCCUACGGGUUGUAAACUUCUUUUAUAAAGGAAUAAAGUGAGGCACGUGUGCCUUUUUGUAUGUACUUUAUGAAUAAGGAUCGGCUAACUCCGUGCCAGCAGCCGCGGUAAUACGGAGGAUCCGAGCUUUAUCCGGAUUUAUUGGGUUUAAAGGGAGCGUAGAUGGGUUGUUAAGUCAGUUGUGAAAGUUUGCGGCUCAACCGUAAAAUUGCAAUUGAUACUGGCAGUCUUGAGUACAGUUGAGGUAGGCGGAAUUCGUGGUGUAGCGGUGAAAUGCUUAGAUAUAACGAAGAACUCCGAUUGCGAAGGCAGCUUACUAAACUGCCACUGACAUUGAUGCUCGAAAGUGUGGGUAUCAAACAGGAUUAGAUACCCGUGUAGUC
rnacentral:rRNA from 1 species